CCUUGGAGUCUCAGAGAGUUUGAUUAUGGCUCAGGAUGAACGCUAGCUACAGGCUUAACACAUGCAAGUCGAGGGGCAGCAUGAAGUUGCUGCAAACUUGAUGGCGACCGGCGCACGGGUGAGUAACGCGUAUCCAACCUUCCCCUUAGUAGGGCAUAGCCCGGCGAAAGUCGGAUUAAUACCCUAUGUUCUUCGUAGAGGACAUCUGAAAUGAAGCAAAGGUUUACCGCUAAGGGAUGGGGGAUGCGUCUGAUUAGGUAGUAGGCGGGGUAACGGCCCACCUAGCCUGCGAUCAGUAGGGGUUCUGAGAGGAAGGUCCCCCACAUUGGAACUGAGACACGGUCCAAACUCCUACGGGAGGCAGCAGUGAGGAAUAUUGGUCAAUGGGCGCGAGCCUGAACCAGCCAAGUAGCCGUGCAGGAUGACGGCCCUAUGGGUUGUAAACUGCUUUUAUCAGGGGAUAAAGUGAGGGACGUGUCCCUUUUUGUAGGUACCUGAUGAAUAAGGACCGGCUAAUUCCGUGCCAGCCGCGGC
rnacentral:rRNA from 1 species